GUGCUCGCUUUGGCAGCACAUAUACUAAAAUUGGAAUGAUACAGAGAAGAUUAGCAUGGCCCCUGUGCAAGGAUGAAAAGUAAACUUGUUCAUCUCUUCCCCUUUCU